AUGCACGCUGGCGGCGUGCUUCACACCUGCAAGUCGAACGGAAAGGCUCCUGCUUGCAGGGGUACUCGAGUGGCGAACGGGUGAGUAACACGUGGGUGAUCUGCCCUGCACUUCGGGAUAAGCCUGGGAAACUGGGUCUAAUACCGGAUAGGACGAUGGUUUGGAUGCCAUUGUGGAAAGUUUUUCUGUGUGGGAUGAGCUCGCGGCCUAUCAGCUUGUUGGUGGGGUAAUGGCCUACCAAGGCGUCGACGGGUAGCCGGCCUGAGAGGGUGUACGGCCACAUUGGGACUGGGAUACGGCCCAGACUCCUACGGGAGGCAGCAGUGGGGAAUAUUGCACAAUGGGCGCAAGCCUGAUGCAGCGACGCCGCGUGGGGGAUGACGGCCUUCGGGUUGUAAACUCCUUUCGCUAGGGACGAAGCGUUUUGUGACGGUACCUGGAGAAGAAGCACCGGCUAACUACGUG
rnacentral:rRNA from 1 species